UUUAUUGGAGAGUUUGAUCCUGGCUCAGGAUGAACGCUGGCGGCGUGCCUAAUACAUGCAAGUCGAGCGAAUGGAUUAAGAGCUUGCUCUUAUGAAGUUAGCGGCGGACGGGUGAGUAACACGUGGGUAACCUGCCCAUAAGACUGGGAUAACUCCGGGAAACCGAGGCUAAUACCGGAUAACAUUUUGAACUGCAUGGUUCGAAAUUGAAAGGCGGCUUCGGCUGUCACUUAUGGAUGGACCCGCGUCGCAUUAGCUAGUUGGUGAGGUAACGGCUCACCAAGGCAACGAUGCGUAGCCGACCUGAGAGGGUGAUCGGCCA
rnacentral:rRNA from 1 species